rnacentral:lncRNA from 1 species
GUAACUCAACUGUAUUGACCGCUGCUGUACCAGAGAGAGAGGGAACAAAUUAGAAAGCAUUUGGUUAGCAACUAGAGAUGAUACAGAGACGAUUAACAGGUUCCACUUUUACUUGUAAAUUUACAUUGGGAAAGGGAAAGAACUGAGGUUGGAAUUCACUAAUACUGUAUCCUUUCUUCUUUGUUGAAGCGCAGGCUCUCAAUGCCCCUAAGUGCUGAUUCAAAUGUCUUUAUAUUUGAGGAGUUUCUACCAGAAGAGGGAUGCUUCUGUUCUGAAGAUGCAAUAGGCAAACUUCU